rnacentral:snoRNA from 1 species
AACUAUAACAGUCGAUGAGGAAAGGUUAUUUGUCUAUGGACCAUCUGUUUUAAUCAAUCCUUUCAGAAGGUUCCCGUUGUGUGAUUUGCGGUGGAUGGAAUUCUUUUUUUUUAAAAGGAGUUCUGGAUUACCGUAGGCCACUCAAUUGGUUCCAUAUUUCUGUUAGGGUAGCUGUAGAUAGUACCGUGAACCUCUUUUCACCACCUUUAAUAAGCGGUAUGAAUAGGAUCAACUGAGGCUG